rnacentral:rRNA from 1 species
AUGCAACUGAAAAUGUUGGUUCUGAUAUCACUGUUCCUUUCCUCAUACAAACAUACUCCCUCUGUUCCUACAUAUUUGUUUUUCUAG